UGCCAUUGCAGCAGAAACUCGACCCUGAAACAAUCUUUUCUGUAGAAAGCUUUUGCAGUAUGGAUGAAGUUCUCCUUCCUCGGAGGCUACAGGCACAAUAGGUGGCGGAUAUUGAUUACACAUUCAGCUGCAAAUCAAAGAUUUUAAUCGAGCACUCUCCUGCUCGUUGUUUUGUCAAUCAAGAACUCAUCCAUGACUCCAUGCAUACAAUUCAUAUGCACAGAUCAAAUGCCUCCACAUGUCAUUAGGACCUCCGAUUAAGUGGCGCUCCAUUUCUCGUGUUCGUACU